rnacentral:rRNA from 1 species
CAGCCGCCGCGGUAAUACGGAGGGUGCAAGCGUUAAUCGGAAUUACUGGGCGUAAAGCGCACGCAGGCGGUCUGACAAGUCAGAUGUGAAAUCCCCGGGCUUAACCUGGGAACUGCAUUUGAAACUGUCAGGCUGGAGUCUUGUAGAGGGGGGUAGAAUUCCAGGUGUAGCGGUGAAAUGCGUAGAGAUCUGGAGGAAUACCGGUGGCGAAGGCGGCCCCCUGGACAAAGACUGACGCUCAGGUGCGAAAGCGUGGGGAGCAAACAGGAUUAGAUACCCCGGUAGUCCUUGUCUCUUAUAC